CCUUUUUCAAAAAGUUCAAUGUGAUCCCACGUUGUAAAAAAAGUGUUCAAGUUAAUCCUUUUUGGUCACGGCGUUAAAUAUUUAACGGUCCUGCUGCCAGCUAGGACUGAUGUGUGCAACGUGACUUUUUACCUGCAUAACGUGGCACUUGACGUGGCACUGACUUGGAGAGAAAUUGGUAAUUUGGGAUUUAUCAUCGUGGAGAAAGUGUCUUGAAAUCUGAAGUCCCCCUUCGAAGUCCAGCCCUGGGACUCCGGAUCCCUCCGCUUCAAGUUUGUCCUCGGCGGCGCGCCGCCCAGUCCCUCGGAGGACUUUCAGUCGAACCGCAAAACUCUCGGCGUCGUCGGCAUCGUCCACUGUCCUUCCUCCUCCGAUCUCGACGCUGCCGUCGACCUUUUCACCAAUGUCUGCAAGUCCUUCCCCUCUUCCCUUGUUGAUCGCUGUUUCGCCUUCUGCCCUAACGAUUCGCAGCUUUUUGGCACUAUCCACCGGGAUUAUAUAUAGUUAUUAUGCAGUAAUAUUAAAGGUUGACGAGGAAGAGUUUGGUGGUCAUGGAGCCCUCCUUCAAGAGGGGCUAUUUGCUUAUGUAGAGAGAUUUAUUUGAUUACAUUUGCCCAAAUUGCAGUUAUCUGCUUUACUUCUAUGUAAAAUGUUCUAAUUUUGCAAUGCAUGCAUGAACACUAGCUUCUGCAUCCCAUGGUAAUUGCUGUUUUAGUCAAGCAUUUCUAGUGUGACACAUUGUAUUACAACAAAUUUUGUGGAUUGAACCCUGAAAUAAAGUUGUUUGCAGACAAAUCGUGAAGGACCAUUUAUCCUUGAUGUUUAUGACAUAAACAUAUAAUUCUCAAAUAGUCUCCCUCAUUUUGUUGGGGUGUUAGUGUUGCUGGUAGGGGAU
rnacentral:sRNA from 1 species